CCCUUGGGCCAAUGGUUGACCAA
rnacentral:siRNA from 1 species